rnacentral:rRNA from 1 species
AGGACCUACGGGGCGCAGCAGUGAGGAAUAUUGGUCAAUGGCCGAGAGGCUGAACCAGCCAAGUCGCGUGAGGGAUGACGGCCCUACGGGUUGUAAACCUCUUUUGUCGGGGAGCAAGACCCGCCACGAGUGGCGGAGCGAGAGGACCCGAAGAAAAAGCAUCGGCUAACUCCGUGCCAGCAGCCGCGGGAAUACGGAGGAUGCGAGCGUUAUCCGGAUUUAUUGGGGUUAAAGGGUGCGCAGGGGGACCAUCAAGUCAGCGGUAAAAUCGUGGGGCCCAAACC